AAGUCGUAACAAGGUUUCCGUAGGUGAACCUGCGGAAGGAUCAUUAGUGAAUUUUAGGGUGCUCUCUUGCUUUUAACAGCUCGAGAGGCCUGACCUCCACUCUCCAACUCUGUGCACCUUUCGGCAUCAUGAACUUGAAUGGGCUUCGGCUCGGGAUAAAGACUGAUGCGGCUCUUUUUAAACAUGAGUUAAAGAAUGUAAACAAAACAUAACAAAAAAAAACUUUCAACAACGGAUCUCUUGGCUCUC
rnacentral:misc_RNA from 1 species